CCUACGGGUGGCAGCAGUCGAGAAUCAUUCACAAUGGGGGAAACCCUGAUGGUGCGACGCCGCGUGGGGGAAUGAAGGUCUUCGGAUUGUAAACCCCUGUCAUAUGGGAGCAAAUUAAAAAGAGAGUACCACAAGAGGAAUAGACGACUAAAUCUGCGCCAGCAACCGCGGUAAUACAGCGGGUGCAAGCGUUGUUCGGAUUCACUGGGCGUAAAGCGUUCGUAGGCUGUGUUGUAAGUCGUGUGUGAAAGGGGCGGGCUCAACCAGCGAAGGGCACCUGAUAAUGGGAGACUAGAGUAAUGGAGGGGGAAGCGGAAUGCGUGGUGUAGCAGUGAAAUGCGUAGAUAUCGAGAGGAACACUGGUGGCGAAGGCGGGUUCCUGGACAUUAACUGACGCUGAGGCACGAAGGCCAGGGGAGCGAAAGGGAUUAGAUACCCGGGUAGUC
rnacentral:rRNA from 1 species